GCGCCGCUGCCCGCCUGCUACGCGUCGCUGACACCCACAACGCCUCCCAGGUCCCCGGCGUCGGCUUUGCCUGACCACGGAGAAGCGCCUGGACAGCGCCAGCGCUCCUCGGUGCCACGCAUCGGUUUCUUCCGGACAUCCACUUCCAACGGCCAGCAUCGGCUUCGGCCGGCAGCGGAUGCCCUCCACACCCACCCCGCGCCCGUCACAUCUCCUCCUAGGAUCUUGCUGCUAAUCCUCGUCUAGCCCCUCCUUCCUUUGCUUCGGCAUGGAGCCCGACGAGCCGUUCAGCGUGUCUUGCAGUGGCAGAGUAAGAAUAGGUGUUCUUUAUUCUCGGGUUGUGCUUGACUCACAAAGUACUUGAAUUAGUUUCACCCACAUAGAUAACUUGACCUUGCAUAUAUACUAUAGGUACAAAAUCCGCCAGAAUGAUUCACGACUGGUCUAACUGCUCCCCACGGCAAGAGAUUAAGUCCCAGAACUAAGGUGAGGUUAUUCUGUUAAAAGUAAAUAAAAUUGUAUACCUGAUUUCCUGCCCACAUUUUACAAGUAAGGAACCGUUGAUUUGGGAUCCAUCUCGAUGGCCCAUAAGAUAAAUCAUCUCACCCUACCAUGAUUAAGUACCGCGUGCUUUUGUAGUUUUAUCUGUUCCACGCUUAACAUGGCCAUUAUUAGCCUCUAUUCCCAGAACGUUUGUAGUUUCUAGACCUAUUUUUUAUUCUGCAAAUCAUUUUUUAUCAAUGUUUCUAGAGCAGGAACAUGCAUUUUCAACUGAUUAAUUUGGUAUCUCUAAACCUUUAGUACCAAUCAUGCUUACUGAAUGACUUCAAAUCCAGACAAGCUUUUAAGCCCUGGAUCCAAACCAGCCACACAAUUUGUCAUUUCUGUAUUAAGCAUUUGAAAGUUCAGGUGGUGCUAUCUUCUAUUUUUAAUUACUGAUGUGUUCUGAACAUAUUUUGGAAUAAUCGAAAUAUAUUGAUGUUGCAGGUUACUUUUGUCUAGAUUAUGGGGUAAAAAAACUUUUGUAUGGAUUAGUUCUCUUCCAAUGAUUCUCAUGUUUAAUGUUGUGAGUCACUUCCACAUAUGUGCACACCCGAGAGUGUUGACAAGUAUAGGUCUGAACAGUUGAAGGAAGAUGAUACAAAAAUAGUUGAAGGAAGGUCAACAUAUUUUUGAAUCCAAUUCUCAUUAGCCUUCCAUGGACCUAAAAAUAUUACUAUGAAACAAGAUACAUAUUGUUUAAAAAUUGCCAAAAUUCCAGUGGAUAAACAGUAGGGCUCAUCACUCUUUAUGUUUGCUAACCUCUAUCUUAAAUCUUUUUCCUUAUGAGUUUUAUUUUUUAUCUAUGAUGUGAAGGAAAUAUGCCCUAGAGGCAAUAAUAUAGUUAUUACUUAUUUCCUUAUAUCAUGAUAAACGUUUAUUAUUCAUGCUAGAAUUGUA
rnacentral:lncRNA from 1 species